GCGAGAGACGGCAUCCCUGUCUUGUGCCAGUUUUCAAAGGGAAUACUUCCAGUUUUUGCCCAUUCAGUAUGAUAUUGACUGUGGGUUUGUCAUAAAUAGCUCUUAUUAUUUUGAGAUACGUUUCAUCAAUAUCUAGUGUAUUGAGAGUUUUUAGCAUGAAGGGCUGUUGAAUUUUGUCAAAGGCCUUUUCUGCAUCUAUUGAGAUAAUCAUGUGGUUUUUGUCAUUGGUUCAGUUUAUGUGAUGGAUUAUGUUUAUUGAUUUGCAUAUGUUGAACCAGCCUUGCAUCCCAGGGACAAAGCCAACUUGAUUGCAAUGGAUAAACUUUUUGAUGUGCUGCUGGAUUCAGUUUGCCAGUAUUUUAUUGAGGAUUUUCGCAUUGAUGUUCAUCAGGGAUAUUGGCAGAGAAAAUGCAACAAGUAGAGAUAAAAUCAGACUAAGUAUUCCAUGGUGUAUAUGUACCACAUUUUCUUAAUCCAGUCUAUCAUACUAUGCAGCCAUAAAAAAUGAUGAGUUCAUGUCCUUUGUAGGGACAUGGAUGAAACUGGAAACCAUCAUUCUCAGCAAACUAUCGCAAGGAGAAAAAACCAAACACCUCGUGUUCUCACUCAUAGGUUCAUUUGACUAUUUUUAUUCUCUAUGAAACUAUUCCUCUGAGCAAAAUAUUUUUCUGAACAUUGUUGGACAUUUUGGGCAAAUGUGUUUCCUGGUGUGAAGAAAUGUUUUUUUGAGAUGUGGUAUUGAUAUUUUUCCCUGGACUCAAAAGUUGCUCAGGCAAAACUAAGACUCCUGGGCUCAAGAGAUCCUUCUGCCUCAGUUCUUCUUGUAGCUGGAAAUACAGGUACACCUGGAAAUCACUUAGAAAUAAAUGCUUGUUGAUUUCAAUCACCUUCCAAACCUGGAGGAGGGUUAUUCUGAGGGGCAUUGAACUAAUUGAACUAUUCUGAGGGAAUGGUACUAAACGAUUCAUGAGAAGCCACCCCCAUGAUGCAAUCACCUCCCUUGAGGCCUCACCUCCAACACUGGGGAUUAUAUCUCAACAUGAGAUUUGGGUGGGGACAACACCCAAUUUAUAUCAGACAUCAACACGCCUUACAUUAAUGCACCCCUCAAAUUACCAUAGUGAUUUCCACAGGACUGUGUCCUAUACGGGUAUUCUUUUCAUAGGCCAGUUUUCCAUUGCUCUCUUAAUUAUAUGGCCAGGCCAUCAGUCAAUGCCC
rnacentral:lncRNA from 1 species